rnacentral:rRNA from 1 species
CGUGGGAAUCUACCCAGUACUACGGAACAACAGUUAGAAAUGACUGCUAAUACCGUAUACGCCUCCGGGGAAAGAUUUAUCGGUAUUGGAUGAGCCCGCGUUUGAUUAGCUAGUUGGUGAGGUAACGGCUCACCAAGGCGACGAUCAAUAGCUGGUCUGAGAGGAUGAUCAGCCACACUGGGACUGAGACACGGUCCAGACUCCUACGGGAGGCAGCAGUGGGGAAUAUUGCACAAUGGGGGAAACCCUGAUGCAGCCAUGCCGCGUGUGUGAAGAAGGCCCUUCGGUUGUAAAGCACUU